GCCGGGGUGGCGGAACUGGUAGACGCGCCUGACUCAAAAUCAGGUUCCUUCGGGAGUGCGAGUUCGAGUCUCGCCCUCGGCACCA
rnacentral:tRNA from 2 species